rnacentral:ncRNA from 1 species
UCUUACAUCGUGUAGGAGACUUAUGCGGAUACAACCGCGUAGCCAGGAGAACUGGCAUUGGACUCCUAACUAGGAGAAAACAAAUG